AAUGAACGUGGGCGGCGUGGAUUAGGCAUGCAAGUCGAGCGAGAAAUUUACUUCGGUAAAUGGACAGCGGCGAAAGGGACAGUAAUGUGUAGGUAUCUACCCUCUGAUCUGGGAUAGCUGCGGGAAACUGCAGGUAAUACCGGAUAAUGUCUUCGGACCAAAGGUGUGAUUCCGUCUGAGGAGGGGCCUGCAUCCUAUUAGCUUGUUGGUGAGGUAAUGGCUCACCAAGGCAACGAUGGGUAGCGGGUGUGAGAGCAUGACCCGCGUCAUUGGGACUGAGACACUGCCCAGACAUCUACGGAUGGCUGCAGUCGAGAAUCUUCGGCAAUGGGCGAAAGCCUGACCGAGCGACGCCGCGUGCGGGAUGAAGGCCCUCGGGUUGUAAACCGCUGUCGUUGGGGAGGAAAUGCAUGAGGGCUAUCCCUCUUGUUUGACCGAUCCAAGGAGGAAGUACGGGCUAAGUUCGUGCCAGCAGCCGCGGUAAGACGAACCGUACGAACGUUAUUCGGAAUUACUGGGCUUAAAGGGUGCGUAGGCUGCACGGAAAGUUGGGUGUGAAAGCCCUCAGCUCAACUGAGGAAUUGCAUCCAAAACUGCCGUGCUUGAGGGAGACAGAGGUGAGCGGAACUCAAGGUGGAGCGGUGAAAUGCGUUGAUAUCUUGAGGAACACCGGUGGCGAAGGCGGCUCACUGGGUCUCUUCUGACGCUGAGGCACGAAAGCUAAGGUAGCAAACGGG
rnacentral:rRNA from 1 species